rnacentral:rRNA from 1 species
CUUCCUACUUUCACUCCAGUCGCCGCCGCGCUUCCACUCCACUCCAUUUUGCUUGUCCCCUUCAGGCCGCUCGCCGCCGCGUCUCCACGCCACCCCAGUCCGUUCCGGCCAUGGCCGCCAUCGUCGAGAACGUCAUGGGCUGGCGCCCCGGCGGUGUAAAUUCCGUGGUAAGUGCCACCUCCCUCACCCCCGCCGUUGACUACGACGGCGAGGACCGCAUCAGCGCCCUCCCCGACGACCUCCUCCGCAGCAUCGUCUCACGCCUCCCCGUCAAGGACGCCGCCCGCACCGCCUCCCUCGCCUCCCGCUGGCGCCACCUCUGGCGCUCCACCCCGCUCUCCCUCAACGACGCCGACCUGCCCCGAUCCGUCGUUGCCCGCGUCCUUGCCGACCACCCGGGGCCCUUCCGCGCCAUCCACAUCACCCGCUGCCGGUUCGCGUCCCACGAGCCUGAGAUCGCAGAGUGGCCGCGCCUCUUCGCUGCCAAUGGCAUCCAGGACCUUGUCCUCGUCAACGACGCCGACCUCGCCAGGUUCCCCCCCGACGCCGUGCGCCUCCCCGGGGACAUCCUCCGCUGCGCCUCGCUCCAGCGCCUCUUCCUGGGUUUCUUCACGUUCCCCGACACCGCUGGUCUCUCCCGCCGAGCCGACGUCCUGCCCCGCCUCCAGGAACUCAGCAUGUUCACGACCAGCAUCAGCGACGGGGACCUCGACUACAUGGCUACAUGCUCGCUUGCAGCCCGGUUCUGGAGAAGCUCGCGUUCGUACUCACCUGUGCACCCGAUUUCAUCCACCUACGGAGCAGAAGCCUCCGGUGCGUGCUCCUCUGGAUUUUCAUGGCAGACGAGGUUGCUGUGGUGGAUGCCCCGCUCCUGGAGCGGCUCUUCUUGCUGGAAGCGCCCCGUGCAGGAGGUGCUGAGAGUACUAUGAUGAUCAAGAUUGCUCAUGCGCCCAACCUGCAGGUGCUCGGCUUCUUGGAGCCAGGAUUUCACCGGCUGCAGAUCGGCGACAAUGUCAUUGAGCCUGGCACAGAGCCGAGCCCAAGCACAGUGCUUCCAAGCGUCAAGAUAUUGGCAUUUAAAGUUAAUUUUGGUGUCAUAGAGGAUGUCAAGAUGCUGGUGACCUACCUCAGAUGCUUUCCCAACGUUGAGACGCUGCACAUCGAGUCUUUAACUGAACCCACUGGAAGGAACAAUGCCAAGUUCUGGCAGGAGCUCCCUACUAUUGAAUGCAUCAAGUCUCACAUCAAGAAGAUGGUUAUCCAUGAAUACAGAGGGAACAAAGUUGAACUUGAAUUCCUUAAGUUCAUUUCCACGAGAGCGCAGGAGCUCCAAGCUUUGUAUGUUCUGCUAAACAGAGAGAGUCUUACUUCGGUGGCCAAGGCGGAUAAGAUGACAAGCAAACUGGUGGCUCUCUCGGGUGUACCAUGGUGCUGUGAUUGUAAGAUGAUGGUGCUAGGCCCUAAAUUUCAGAAUGAAUGGAGCAUCCAGAAAGCAUCUGAUCUUACUGUCGACGACCCUUUCCAUUGGUGAGUUUGUGUCUGGCUAUAUAUUUGCAUGAACCAAAGCGUUUUCUGGGGGAAUCAUUUGCUGUUCUACAUAUGCAAGGGCACUGUUUAGUUUGUAGGCAAGAGUAUGUCUGUUCUUGACAAAGAACAUGAAGACUUGAACUAGAGCACGAGUACGUGGAAGUGUUGAACUGGCUGUGCUAUGCUUCAUUCAGAAUGUACCGUAUUAUGUAAUGCCCUUAUGUUUGUUCCUAGUGUAGUAAAAGACUAGUAUCAGGAUGCCAAACGCUGUGUGCUUUGGUUUGUGCUAUAUAUUUAGGUGUUGCUUCAUAAACC